UCACUACUAAAGGUACUAGUAUUUGAGAAUCAAAUAUUGUUAUGUAAGGCACUUUACAAUUCAAUUUGGGCUGUAUGGGCGAAAAGUUUGUUUGUUGUCCUUGUGAGAAUAGGAACCACGUCCGCAGUAAGACCUGCACUCGAUGCGUAUACGAUACGCACCCGUUACGCACCAUACGGCAAAGAACCGACUACCGUAACGCGAUUACGAGCGAAUCGUAGCGCAACAGCGACACGAAGAACCAACAACCGACUGACGGAAGAACCGAAGAAUUUAUUCUUCAAAACCGCAGCGGCGGACUGACCCGACCAAAAUGGACGCGCCAGGAGCACCAAGAAAUGAUUAUGAUGAUGAUGAUGAUGAUGAUUAUUUCAAAACAAACCUGCGGGGUGUGUUUGGGACGUUGUGGUGUUGCUUUGACACCUCCUGGUUCUUGUUUUUGUCGGAUGAAGAGGAUUGUGUGUGACGGUUAAGUAACUGAUGGAUGUCUAUGAAGACAGCUAUAACUAUUUGUUGUUUAUCUAAUGCCAUUGAAAUACAGUCUACAAAAUCCACAACCGCACCAAAUGUACUACUGUUCUUUAUAAAGCCAUAUUGAUAUUUAUCAUUCAAUAGAUUGCAAGAGUUAAUGAAAGAUAACAUUCUAUUUUUUAUUAUUUUUUCAAGAAUCUUGGAGAAUACACUAACGACUGAAAUGGGCCUGUAAUUAUUCAUAUAUCUUUUAUUACCUGACUUAAAAAGAGGUGUAAUUUUACUUAUUUUUAACUCUGAUGGGAAAAUCCCUUUUUGUAUAGUUUUAUUAAUUAACCGUACCAAAACAGGUAUCAUGUAUUCUCCAAGAUUAUGUAUGUCCCUAACCGUAAUAUCGUCAUAUCCAGGUGCUGAGUUUAUUUUUAGUUCUUUUAAAAUUUCUGAUAUUUCCUCUUUAUUAGUUAAUGUUAUAGAAAUAGAACUAUCAUUGUAGACUUCAUCAAUAGAAAAAAUCUCGUUUGAUAGUUGAAUCUCCGUUUCCAAAUCUUUAACUAUUGAUUCACCGACCUGAGAAAAAUAUGUAUUUAAAUUAUUUGCAAUGUCAA